UACGGGAGGCAGCAGUGAGGAAUAUUGGUCAAUGGACGCAAGUCUGAACCAGCCACGUCGCGUGAAGGAAGACGGCCCUACGGGUUGUAAACUUCUUUUGUACAGGAAUAAAGUGCCUUACGUGUAAGGUUUUGCAUGUACUGUACGAAUAAGGAUCGGCUAACUCCGUGCCAGCAGCCGCGGUAAUACGGAGGAUCCGAGCGUUAUCCGGAUUUAUUGGGUUUAAAGGGUGCUCAGGCGGGGGAUUAAGUCGGCGGUGAAAUUUUGCAGCUCAACUGUAAAAGUGCCUUCGAAACUGGUAUCCUUGAGUGUGGAUGAGGUAGNCGNAAUUUGUGGUGNANCGGUNAAAUGCAUAGAUAUCACGAGGAACUCCGAUUGCGCAGGCAGCUUACUAAACCAUAACUGACGCUCAAGCACGAAGGCGUGGGGAUCAAACAGGAUUAGAUACCCUGGUAGUCCACGCAGUAAACGAUGAUUACUGGCUGUUUGCGAUAUGAUGUAACGGCUGAGCGAAAGCGUUAAGUAACCCACCUGGGGAGUACGUUCGCAAGAAUGAAACUCAAAGGAAUUGACGG
rnacentral:rRNA from 1 species